CGAGCUGGACGGAUUCCAGUAUAGUACUUCGUAGCUCCAGCGAGUAAUCGCUGUGUAACAGCCUACUACCAGUCCCGUCAUAGACAUUCUCGCAACCAGGGAAUGCGUCUGGAGCGAGCGUGCAGCGCUCGAGAAGAGAACCAGAGAAUGUGAGAGCAGCGCGCAAAACCACGUCUCCACAACCGACUUUCACAGAAUUCCUAGAAAUGUGCUUCUCGUAGAUUGCCCAGCGCCAAUAAAGCGGGGAUAUCUGCUCCAGUAACUCAUAGGAAAAUGAAACGGCUUUCCCGAAAGCUGACUUUGGCAUUGGUGGUGCUUUGUUGGAUUGCUGCACUACUGUAUUUGAUACUCUUAAGUAGGCAGAAAGUAUCGGACCUGGGGACUAAAGAUGCACAGUACGGAAAGAUCUCAGAGGCAGAAUGGGACGACCUCCUGGAAGAGUUUGAAGAGAAGAACUACCUCAACGCCAGGCGUUGGAAACCAGGCCAGGACCCGUACAAACUGUAUGCCUUCAACCAGAGAGAGAGUGAGAGGAUACCCAGCAACAGAGUUCUCAGAGACACACGCCAUUACAGGUGCACCACGCUACAUUAUGACCCAGAUCUGCCCUCCACCUCCAUUGUCAUCACCUUCCACAACGAGGCCCGCUCUACUCUGCUACGCACCAUCAGGAGUGUGCUGAACCGGACGCCUGUCCACCUGAUUCACGAGAUCAUCCUGGUAGAUGACUACAGCGAGGAUGCAAAUGACUGCCUUCUACUCACCAAGUUGCCCAAAGUAAAGUGUCUUCGGAAUGACAGGAGAGAAGGUCUGAUCCGCUCCAGGGUUCGUGGGGCGGACGCGGCUAAGGCCGGGGUCCUGACCUUCCUGGACAGUCACUGUGAGGUCAACAAAGACUGGCUGCCUCCGCUGCUCCAGCGGAUCAAAGAGGACCCCACCUGUGUGGUGAGCCCAGUGAUCGACAUCAUUAACAUGGAUACAUUCGCUUACGUAGCAGCCUCCUCUGACCUCCGUGGAGGCUUCGACUGGAGUCUACAUUUCAAGUGGGAGCAGUUGUCUGCUGAACAGAAAGCCAGGAGAGCUGACCCCACCGAACCCAUUAAGACGCCUAUCAUCGCCGGAGGGCUGUUUGUGAUUGACAAGUCGUGGUUCAACCACCUGGGGAAGUAUGACACAGCCAUGGACAUUUGGGGCGGGGAGAACUUUGAGAUCUCGUUCCGGGUGUGGAUGUGUGGAGGGAGCCUAGAGAUUAUCCCCUGCAGCAGGGUCGGCCACGUCUUCCGCAAGAAACACCCCUACAUCUUCCCUGAGGGCAACGCCAACACCUACAUCAAGAACACCAGGCGCACGGCGGAGGUGUGGAUGGACGAGUUCAGGCUCUUCUACUACUCGGCUCGCCCUGCAGCACGGGGCAAGUCCUACGGAGACAUUCAUGGCAGGGAAGAGCUCCGCAAGAUUCUCAAGUGCAAAUCCUUCAAGUGGUAUCUGGACAACGUCUACCCAGAGCUCAAAGUGCCAGAUGAUUCGGACUCUAAGUCGGGGGUGGUUCGUCAAAGACAGAAUUGUCUAGAGUCGCGGAAGCUGGAGGGACAGGACCUCCCCUCUCUCACACUGGCACCCUGCAUCGGGACCAGAUCUGUGCCGGCACUCAACCAGGAGUGGAUCUACACCCACGGGCAGCAGAUUCGCCAGCAACAGCACUGCCUCUCCCUCUCUACCACUUUUCCUGCCUCCCAGGUCAUGCUCAUGCCCUGUAACAUCGGCGACGGGAAACAAGUAAUAGCCCAGAGGGCGCCCGUCCUCACCUGAACACUCAUCACGCCGGCCCCCUGCCGGCCCCCUGCCUCAAACGAGCAAAGUCACUUCUGACAAGCCAUAAAUCAACUUUCACUUAGGCAGUCUGAUAGUGCAGUGGAGAGUGUGCCUGAGAGCUCCGGGUUCUGCCUGUAUCACCAGCCAGCUGCUGCUGCCGCUGCUGCUGCACCCUGAGACAGAGGCAAGGUCCUCCCCAGUCUGUUUCGGCUUAUCUAACAGUAUGCUAGCGAGGCUGUUUACAUGGUUUGAGUCUGUAUGAAAAGGUUGUACAUGUUUUAUUGACAUUCCUGGUAAACAAGGAGGAAAACAAAACAGAGUUGGUUUGUGGAGAUACUGUUUAUGAGUGGGAGGGUGUUUUGAGCAGCAUGCAUGACUGUAAAAUGUAUUCACAUUGUUUUGUUUGGGUGGUGACUGCAGGAACAGAUGAUUCAUGAAUAUGUGGUGAUAAUGAUGUAGUGUCUGGUGAAAAGAUAGGAAGUGAGAGACAGAAGGAUCGCGAGAGUGAUGGAGAGAGAAAGAGAGGAUAAAUAGCACACUUAAAACAUUAUACACAGCUCAGUUACAGUCUAGUGUUCCAUAGAUAAGUCAGAACCACAUAAUAGACCUCUGAAUUGGCAGGUAGAUUUUAGGUCUCCCACUUUUCGAAGUUGCGCAGGUAUAUACUACCUCCUCCUGCUAAAAAGGCUCCCAAAGCAACAUGUUCCACCCCUGGCACAUAGACGGAAACUGUUCAAUAAUAGCUAAUUAGAGCCGUGCUCAUGUGUUCCCCUCAGGCCACUGUAGGCUACAGCAGAGAGAGGCUCUCAGGAGCCUAUAAAUGUGCUUAACUAUCAAUUGUGCAUCAACAGCCAGUAACAAGAAGAAUUACUUAGAGGCACCACAGGCACUGAAUACAAAUUGAUUUUGUUUUAAUUAUUUUCUUUUAUCAAUUAAAAAGUGCAGUCUCACUUUGCUUCAUAAAAAAAUUGAAGAAAAACAUGUCAUGGCAAUUUGAGUCUUUCCUGCUUUGAUCAGGGUCACAAUGGAACAGAGCUUGUUUCUGUUCACUGACUUUAAAUACUCUGAAACAAAGACGCUCUGUAUCUCUACCAUAUCCACCCUUGGUUUUUCUGCCAUUUUAUUCCUUGGGCGGGUCGCCAAAACAUUUUUUUUUCAAGUCGAUUUUCAGGAUGGAAAAAUGCUUUCAGUGUAAAUUUAAACAACCAACUAAAACCAGAUAUAAAGUAUGUAGAAAAUAUAAUGGACCUAUAUCUUGUUUUUUUUAUAAUAUCAUCUUUGAGAACUAACAAUUACCAAAAUAAAAGGUAGACAGUCAGGGAGAAUUGAAAAUUCCAAAAACAAUGAAUUUAGUAGUGUUCAUUAUGUUAUUAUGUUUGAGAAAAAAAGCACAGCAUUAGCCAUGGUGAAAAGCAUAGAAUUACAGGAAACUAGCUUUAAAACAGCAUGAUUUUCUCCCAGCUCCAUGGUAGAAUAUGUAUAAUUGCAGGAAAUGAACUUUAAAACGGCAACAUUUUCUCUACAUGGCAAGACAUUUGUUUGAGUUUCAGGAUAUUGGCUCAAAAAUUCAAACAAUUCUCUUCACCAUGGAGAUGGGGGCCUGUUCACAAAAUUGUAGCCACUCACAUGGGCCAGCUGCUAAUUGCCACGCCUCCUGCCACGCCCACAACCUUUGCCCUUUUUGAUCCAGAAAAUCCCCUUGAUAUCCACUGUAUUGUUUCUACCACUGAAGAGAGGCGUGAUCAUGAUACGCUCCACUAGUCUUGGCAACAGGCUUUGCCUGUCAGCCGUCAUGUUCUAACCAGUGAUGGAUGUGUGAGGCAAUGACAAAUUCCUUGCAUGUUUGCUAAUAUCCUCUAGUUUUGUUCAUGUACAAGUUCAACAAUAUCAACAAGAAGAAGAAUUCCCUGCUCAAAAUGAGUGACUCACCAGAAAUUGAGUAAAGAGGGACAUCUAGUGGUGAAUAGUGGGAAGAGUGCCAUGUGCCAUGAACAUGACAUGCAAUAAAGAUCAUUAGCUAAAAAUGAAGUUGACAUAAUUACAGGCGAUGGCAGAAGUCAGGCACCCAUCUGGAGCACCUGGCCUCCCACUUCUGCCUGGACAGUGAGAUGGCCCUGGACGGCAUCGAGAGCAGUAAGAUGCUGGUGAUCAGCCCCUGUGAACUGACAGCCUACACCCAGA